UACAGAGGUCCCAAGCGUUGUUCGGAUUCAUUGGGCGUAAAGGGUGCGUAGGCGGCGCGGUAAGUCGGGUGUGAAAUCUCGGGGCUUAACCUGGGAACUGCAUCCGAUACUGGAUGGCUUGAAUCCGGGAGAGGGAUGCAGAAUUCCAGGUGUAGCGGUGAAAUGCGUAGAUAUCUGGAGGAAUACCGGUGGCGAAGGCGGCAUCCUGGACCGGCAUUGACGCUGAGGAGCGAAAGCUAGGGGAGCAAACGGG
rnacentral:rRNA from 1 species